AGUUGCCAUCAUUCAAGUUGGGCACUCUAGAGGGACUGCCGGUGAUAAGCCGGAGGAAGGUGGGGAUGACGUCAAGUCCUCAUGGCCCUUACAGGCUGGGCUACACACGUGCUACAAUGGCGGUGACAAUGGGAUGCGAUGGGGCGACCCGGAGCAGAUCUCCAAAAGCCGUCUCAGUUCGGAUUGUACUCUGCAACUCGAGUGCAUGAAGGUGGAAUCGCUAGUAAUCGUAGAUCAGAACGCUACGGUGAAUACGUUCCCGGGCCUUGUACACACCGCCCGUCACACCAUGGGAGUUGGUU
rnacentral:rRNA from 1 species